rnacentral:lncRNA from 1 species
AGGUUAUUUUUAUUCACAGGAUUUCAAACAAAUAUGGCGGGUUGCCGAAGCUCUUGAUGUAGGGAUGGUAGGGGUGAACUCAGGAUUCAUUUCCUCUGAGGUCUCGCCAUUUGGCGGAGUGAAGCAGUCUGGUAUUGGAAGCGAGGCGUCCAAAUAUGGCAUAGACGAAUAUAUUGAUCUGAAGAGCGUUAAUUUUGGAGGAAUGUAGAAAUAAUCCUAACAAUUAUGGAGCCAGUUUCGUGAACGUCACGGAGCAGGAGAUGGUGGUCAAUUUAGACAUGCUGACUUUUAUAGUAGCAAACUAAUUUAACUAAACAGCUAUAUUUAAUCGACUUGCUACCAGCGACAAUAUAUGCAGGCGUUUUAUUUGAAGUGGGUGGAGCUGGCUGACCCUCCGCGUAUAUAGAUAAAUUGUAAAUGCUCAUAUACAUAAAUUGUAAAUGAAAUAGAAAUAAUCGAU